GGCUCAGGAUGAACGCUAGCGGCAGGCCUAACACAUGCAAGUCGAGGGGCAGCGGGGAAAAGCUUGCUUUUCCGCCGGCGACCGGCGCACGGGUGCGCACCGCGUAUGGAACCUGCCUUGUACAGGGGAAUAGCCCAGGGAAACUUGGAUUAAUGCCCCGUAGUACCGUAUUUCGGCAUCGUUAUACGGUUAAAGCCUUCGGGCGGUACAAGAUGGCCAUGCGUCCCAUUAGCUUGUUGGUAAGGUAACGGCUUACCAAGGCUACGAUGGGUAGGGGCCCUGAGAGGGGGAUCCCCCACACUGGUACUGAGGACACGGACCAGACUCCUACGGGAGGCAGCAGUGAGGAAUAUUGGACAAUGGAGGAGACUCUGAUCCAGCCAUGCCGCGUGCAGGAAGAAUGCCCUAUGGGUAGUAAACUGCUUUUAUACGGGAAGAAAAAGAGCUACGUGUAGCUUACUGACGGUACCGUAAGAAUAAGGACCGGCUAACUCCGUGCCAGCAGCCGCGGUAAUACGGAGGGUCCGAGCGUUAUCCGGAAUUAUUGGGUUUAAAGGGUCCGUAGGCGGGCCGAUAAGUCAGGGGUGAAAGUCUGCCGCUCAACGGUAGAACUGCCUUUGAUACUGUCGGUCUUGAGUUAUAGUGAAGUUGCCGGAAUAUGUAGUGUAGCGGUGAAAUGCAUAGAUAUUACAUAGAACACCGAUUGCGAAGGCAGGUGACUAACUAUAUACUGACGCUGAUGGACGAAAGCGUGGGGAGCGAACAGGAUUAGAUACCCUGGUAGUCCACGCCGUAAACGAUGGAUACUAGCUGUCCGGAACCUUGAGUUCUGGGCGGCCAAGCGAAAGUGAUAAGUAUCCCACCUGGGGAGUACGUUCGCAAGAAUGAAACUCAAAGGAAUUGA
rnacentral:rRNA from 1 species